rnacentral:lncRNA from 1 species
GCAUGCCUGCAAACUGAUCAUAAUCAUCUGAUUGGUUUGUUUUGUGCUCGACUCCCACAAUUUUUCUUUUACUUGGAAGGACUAUCUGGCACUUUGGCUCCCAUGGAUCUUCUAGAUUUCUCUUAGGUUUGCUAGACAUGUCCUUCACAUAGAAAACUUAAUGCACAUCAUUGGCGAGAAUGAAUGGUUUAUCACUGUAUCCAGUCUUGCUAAGGUCCACUAUUGUCAUUCCAUACUGAUCUUUGGUUACGCCAUUUAGCUUCACCCAUUGGCAACAAAACAGAGGGAUGCACAGCGGUCCGUAUUCUAUUUCUCAUAUCUCCUCUAUGAAAUGUGACGACCGACCCCAAAUCUCUGGAGUUAAUCUUAAUCCGAGUCCCCCAUCCCCCUACCUCAGCUCCCCGAGUUGAAGUGCUCAACCCCCAGUUCGGUCCUGACCCCUGAGAUCCGACCCCUCUCCACUGCUCCCCCAGUUCCG